rnacentral:rRNA from 1 species
CUGCUGCCUCCCGUAGGAGUCUGGUCCGUGUCUCAGUACCAGUGUGGGGGACCUUCCUCUCAGAACCCCUAGACAUCGUCGCCUUGGUGGGCCGUUGCCCCGCCAACUAGCUAAUGUCACGCAUGCCCAUCCGUUGCCGGAAUCGCUCCCUUUGGCCGCAGGGCCAUGCAGCCCCGCGGCGUUACGCGGUAUUAGACGGGAUUUCUCCCGAUUAUCCCCCUGCAACGGGCAGGUCGCAUACGCGUUACUCACCCGUGCCG